rnacentral:ncRNA from 1 species
CGGAUUGCAAUGACGGGGACUAGUAAAAUCGCAUGUCCGGACCAGAGAGCGAAAUUCAGCGGCUGAGAGAUUUCGCCCGCGAUACGGUUUGAACCCACCCCCAGAGCUGCCAGGGAUGACCUGGACAGGUUUCUUUCACCUGUUAUCAAAGAAAGAGAGCUGGACGAUAUCCGAGCAUCCAACGUGCUCCUAUCGUCAAGUAAGGUGGUACCGCGAAGGUAAAUGAACCCUUUCGUCCUUAUG